UACGUAGGCAGCGAGCGUUGUUCGGAGUUACUGGGCGUAAAGGGUAGGUAGGUGGUCUCAUUUGUCUGGGGUGAAAGCCCAGGGCUUAACCCUGGAAGUGCCCCGGAAACGGUGAGACUGGAGUCUUGGAGAGGGUCGUGGAAUUCCCGGUGUAGCGGUGAAAUGCGUAGAGAUCGGGAGGAACACCAGAGGCGAAGGCGGCGACCUGGACAAGCACUGACACUCAACUACGAAAGCGUGGGGAGCAAACAGG
rnacentral:rRNA from 1 species